UUGCAUAGUCUCAGAAGUGACA
rnacentral:miRNA from 16 species